UACGGGAGGCAGCAGUGGGGAAUAUUCCACAAUGGGGGGAACCCUGAUGGAGCGACGCCGCGUGAGUGAAGAAGGGUUUCGACUCGUAAAGCUCUUUUCUGCUUGACGAAUGGUCUAUUGGAUAGACAGGGACGGUAGAGUAGGAAUAAGCCACGGCUAACUACGUGCCAGCAGCCGCGGUAAU
rnacentral:rRNA from 1 species